rnacentral:rRNA from 1 species
AGAGUUUGAUCCUGGCUCAGGAUGAACGCUAGCGGCAGGCCUAACACAUGCAAGUCGAGGGGCAGCGGGGAUUGCUUGCAAUCCGCCGGCGACCGGCGCACGGGUGCGGAACGCGUAUGGAACCUGCCCCUGUCAGGGGAAUAGCCCAGAGAAAUUUGGAUUAAUGCCCCAUGGUAUCCUACCACUGCAUGGUGGAGGGAUUAAAGAUUUAUCGGACAGGGAUGGCCAUGCGUACCAUUAGCUUGUUGGUAAGGUAACGGCUUACCAAGGCAACGAUGGUUAGGGGCCCUGAGAGGGGGAUCCCCCACACUGGUACUGAGACACGGACCAGACUCCUACGGGAGGCAGCAGUGAGGAAUAUUGGACAAUGGUCGGGAGACUGAUCCAGCCAUGCCGCGUGCAGGAUGACUGCCCUAUGGGUUGUAAACUGCUUUUAUACGGGAAGAAACCUGUCCACGUGUGGACAGCUGACGGUACCGUAAGAAUAAGGACCGGCUAACUCCGUGCCAGCAGCCGCGGUAAUACGGAGGGUCCGAGCGUUAUCCGGAAUCAUUGGGUUUAAAGGGUCCGUAGGCGGGCCGUUAAGUCAGGGGUGAAAGUCUGCGGCUCAACCGUAGAACUGCCUUUGAUACU